rnacentral:rRNA from 1 species
AGAGUUUGAUCCUGGCUCAGGGUGAACGCUGGCGGCGUGCCUAAGACAUGCGAGUCGAACGGGCCUGAUUUCGGUCAGGCUAGUGGCGGACGGGUGAGUAACACGUGGGUGAUCUACCCCAAAGUCUGGGACAACUAGGGGAAACCUUAGCUAAUCCCGGAUGGUGAGGCUUCUCCUGUGAAGUCUCUAAAGAUUUAUCGCUUUGGGAUGAGCCCGCGGCGCAUCAGCUAGUUGGUGGGGUAAUGGCCUACCAAGGCGACGACGCGUAGCUGGUCUGAGAGGACGACCAGCCACAGGAGCACUGAGACACGGGCUCCACUCCUACGGGAGGCAGCAGUUAGGAAUCUUCGUCAAUGGGCGAAAGCCUGAACGAGCGACGCCGCUUGAGGGACGAAGCCCUUCGGGGUGUAAACCUCUGAACAGGGGACGAUGAUGACGGUACCCUGCUAAUAGCACCGGCUAACUCCGUGCCAGCAGCCGCGGUAAUACGGAGGGUGCGAGCGUUACCCGGAUUUACUGGGCGUAAAGGGCGUGUAGGCGGUUUUCUAAGUCCGGGGCUAAAGACCAGGGCUCAACCCUGGGUUUGCCUUGGAUACUGGAAAGCUCGACGGCUGGAGGGGGCAGCGGAAUUUCCGGAGUAGCGGUGAAAUGCGCAGAUACCGGAAGGAACGCCAAUAGCGAAGGCAGCUGCCUGGACAGUACGUGACGCUGAGGCGCGAAAGCGUGGGGAGCAAACCGGAUUAGAUACCCGGGUAGUCCACGCCCUAAACGAUGAGUGCUGGGUGUCCGGCGUUUGCCGG